AAAAAGGCAAACCCUGGGUUUCCGUGCCAACGUUUGACUGUCCGUCUUAUAUGAAAUUUUUUUUAUAAUUAGUAUUUUUAUUGUUGUUAGAUGAUAAAACAUGAUUAAUACUUUAUGAAUGACUUAUCUUUUUAAUUUUUUCAUAACUUUUUCAAAUAAGACGGACGGUCAAACGUUGGACACCGAAAUCAGGGUUUGUCUUUUU
rfam:Oryza rufipogon genomic scaffold, chr06